AUGCAAUCUUAUGAUGAAAAACUUAAUUUGGAAAUUUCUAUACCUAGAGAACUUAAUGAUGAGUGGGAACAUACUAUAAAGAUUAGAACUAAAUAUCAUGAGUGUUUUGCUUUUGGUGAUUUGGGUGCUAGUGUUUCCACGAUUCCGAAAAAUUUAUGUAAUAUUCUAGGCUUCCAUGAUCUUGAUGAUUGCUUGUUAAAUUUGCACCUUGCGGAUUCCACCAUUAAAAAGCCAAUGGGAAGGAUCAAUGAUUUUCUUAUUGUUGCAAAUAGAAAUUUGGUGCACGUGGAUUUUAUCGUUCUUGAUAUAGAUUGCAAUCUUUCUUGCUCUAUUAUUCUUCGUAGACCUUUCCUUAGAACGAUUGGUGCGAUUAUUGAUAUGAAGGAAGGGAAUAUUAGAUUCCAAUUUCCAUUAAAGAAAGGCAUGGAGCACUUUCCAAGAAAGAAAGUCAAAUUACCUUAUGAAUUUGUUCAAAAAAAAUUACCUUAUGAAUCUAUCAUGCGGGCUACUUAUGAAUCAAGUGCCCAAGAUGGCACUCGUUAG
rnacentral:rRNA from 1 species